rnacentral:rRNA from 1 species
GACGAACGCUGGCGGCGUGCUUAACACAUGCAAGUCGAACGGAAAGACCCUUCGGGGUCCUCGAGUGGCGAACGGGUGAGUAACACGUGGGUGAUCUGCCCUGCACUUUGGGAUAAGCCUGGGAAACUGGGUCUAAUACCGAAUAGGACCACGCGCUUCAUGGCGUGUGGUGGAAAGCUUUUGCGGUGUGGGAUGGGCUCGCGGCCUAUCAGCUUGUUGGUGGGGUAAUGGCCUACCAAGGCGACGACGGGUAGCCGGCCUGAGAGGGUGACCGGCCACACUGGGACUGCGAUACGGCCCAGACUCCUACGGGAGGCAGCAGUGGGGAAUAUUGCACAAUGGGCGCAAGCCUGAUGCAGCGACGCCGCGUGAGGGAUGACGGCCUUCGGGUUGUAAACCUCUUUCAAUAGAGACGAAGCGCAAGUGACGGUACCUAUAGAAGAAGCACCGGCCAACUACGUG